rnacentral:rRNA from 1 species
GUGGGGAAUCUUGCGCAAUGGGCGAAAGCCUGACGCAGCCAUGCCGCGUGAAUGAUGAAGGUCUUAGGAUUGUAAAAUUCUUUCACCGGGGACGAUAAUGACGGUACCCGGAGAAGAAGCUCCGGCUAACUUCGUGCCAGCAGCCGCGGUAAUACGAAGGGGGCUAGCGUUGCUCGGAAUUACUGGGCGUAAAGGGCGCGUAGGCGGACAGCUUAGUCAGAGGUGAAAGCCCAGGGCUCAACCUUGGAAUUGCCUUUGAUACUGGCUGUCUUGAGUUUGGGAGAGGUGAGUGGAGCUCCGAGUGUAGAGGUGAAAUUCGUAGAUAUUCGGAAGAACACCAGUGGCGAAGGCGACUCACUGGCCCAAUACUGACGCUGAGGCGCGAAAGCGUGGGGAGCAAACAGGAUUAGAUACCCUAGUAGUCC